rnacentral:rRNA from 1 species
UCCUACGGGGCGCAGCAGUGGGGAAUAUUGCGCAAUGGGCGAAAGCCUGACGCAGCGACGCCGCGUGAGGGAUGAAGGUCUUCGGAUCGUAAACCUCUGUCAGCAGGGAAGAACGGUCACUGUGCUAAUCAGCAGUGAAUUGACGGUACCUGCAAAGGAAGCACCGGCUAACUCCGUGCCAGCAGCCGCGGUAAUACGGAGGGUGCGAGCGUUAAUCGGAAUUACUGGGCGUAAAGCGCUCGUAGGCGGUAUGUCAAGUCAAGGGUGAAAUCCCCGCGCUCACUGUGGGAACUGCCUUUGAAACU